GGAUGACAUGCACUCCUGUUACUGUACUGUAUAUAAGGAAAGCUCAACAUUCAUAGCAACUCAAAAACCUCCUCGACUCUCUGUGAGAUAAACUGCUGAAGGUGCAAAGAUUUGAAGUGUGAUCACUGUAACCAUGCUGAAGCUAGCUCUUGUGCUUGGAUGCCUCCUGAGCCUGGCUCUGGCUCGUCCUAAUGACAUGGAGCAUAAACGACUUGCUCGUUCAAGCUCAUCUGAGUCAAAUUCAGGAGAGAGCACCACCAGCGCAAUCACAACCCCCAAUAUUGCCUCACUCAUACAACUACUGCUGCGGCUACUUAGUGGGAACUGAAAUGUCACCUAUAUAUAAGUGAAUGAUACCCAGUAAUUAUUAGAUGUUUGAUCAGC